AUUGAACGCUGGCGGCAUGCCUUACACAUGCAAGUCGAACGGCAGCACGGGAGCAAUCCUGGUGGCGAGUGGGCGAACGGGUGAGUAAUAGUAUCGGAACGUGCCCAGUAGUGGGGGAUAGCCCGGCGAAAGCCGGAUUAAUACCGCAUACGACCUGAGGGUGAAAGCGGGGGAUCGCAAGACCUCGCGCUAUUGGAGCGGCCGAUAUCAGAUUAGCUAGUUGGUGGGGUAAAGGCCUACCAAGGCGACGAUCUGUAGCUGGUCUGAGAGGACGACCAGCCACACUGGGACUGAGACACGGCCCAGACUCCUACGGGAGGCAGCAGUGGGGAAUUUUGGACAAUGGGCGCAAGCCUGAUCCAGCCAUGCCGCGUGUGGGAAGAAGGCCUUCGGGUUGUAAACCACUUUUGUCAGGGAAGAAACGGUCCUUACUAAUAUUAGGGACUAAUGACGGUACCUGAAGAAUAAGCACCGGCUAACUACGUG
rnacentral:rRNA from 1 species